rnacentral:rRNA from 1 species
UACGUAGGGGGCUAGCGUUGUCCGGAUUUAUUGGGCGUAAAGAGCGUGUAGGCGGCCAGAUAGGUCUGCUGUGAAAACUCGAGGCUCAACCUCGAGAUGUCGGCGGAAACCAUUUGGCUAGAGUCCGGAAGAGGAAAGUGGAAUUCCUGGUGUAGCGGUGAAAUGCGUAGAUAUCUGGAGGAACACCGGUGGCGAAGGCGGCAUCCUGGACCGGUAUUGACGCUGAGGCGCGAAAGCCAGGGGAGCAAACGGG